rnacentral:rRNA from 1 species
UACGGAGGGGGCUAGCGUUGUUCGGAAUUACUGGGCGUAAAGCGCACGUAGGCGGCGAUUUAAGUCAGAGGUGAAAGCCCGGGGCUCAACCCCGGAAUUGCCUUUGAGACUGGAUUGCUAGAAUCUUGGAGAGGCGAGUGGAAUUCCGAGUGUAGAGGUGAAAUGCGUUGAUAUUGGGAGGAACACCAGUGGCGAAGGCGGCUCACUGGACCGGUUCUGACGCUGAGGCGCGAAAGCGUGGGGAGCAAACGGGG